GAAUAGGUAUCCUUUAUAAUAUCAUGAUCAACAGGAAAGAGAUAAUAUCUUCUACUUAAUCCUGGAUACUAUAUCUGAAGUCAGAGCAUCCACUCCAAAGCAGAGAAUUUCUGAAAAACAAAAUAAUGUCAUCAUAUGAUGUUAGAAUUUUUUUUCAAAUGAUGGUUCCUAAUACUUCACAUUAGAAGAACUCGAAUUUGAUGACCAGUUUGAGAAACACCAGUAUAUCCAGAUUACAAGAAAAAGCGAGUCAAAAGGAUGAUCAUGAAUAUAACAACUUCGAGGAAACAUUUAACCAAAGACCAAAGCUUUUUAAACAACUGAGAGUUUUUAUAAGAAAAAGACCUCAUACAGUAGUCCCCACUUAUUCAUGGGGGAUACAUUUCAAGACCCACAGAGAAGGCCUGAAAUCACUGAUGUACCAAACCCUAACCAGGUUCUUAGGAUGAGCUACUAAAUGACAAAUGGGUGGGUAGUACAUAGAGUGUAGAUACACCAGACAAAGAAAUGAUUCACAGCCCAGGCAGGACAGAGCAGAUCACACAAGAUUUCAUCACAGUACUCAGAAAACCACACCAUUUAAAAGUUAUGAAUUGUUUAUUUCUGGAAUUUUCCAUAUAAUAUUUUUGACCACAGUUUCCCAUGGAUAACUGAAACCAUGGGAAGUGGAACUGUGGAUAAGGCAGGACUACUGUAACUAUGACAUCAAUGGUAGGAACCUGAAGCAUAAUUCUGCUGUAGUGGAUUUUUUCAAAAGAAACUCAUGAAUGAAAAAUAAUUUAUUAGAUAUAAGAAAGGAUGCAUUUGUAUCUCAAACUUUACUUAUUCUGGAAAUAAAUGAAAAGCCAACACCUAUUACAUACCGACAAAAAUGAAAAAAUAAAUAAAUGUAAAGCCAUAGUUCAGUACUGAUGGAAUCUGAGAAAAUUUAUAUGACCGCGAACCCAUAUCUCUGUACUGAAUGUGGGAAAGGCUACACUUGUCUUGCAUCCCUGACCCAGCAUCAGAAAACACAUAUUGGAGAAAAACCUUAUGAAUGUAAAAUAUGUGGUAAGUCCUUUACCCGGAACAGUAAUCUUGUUCAACAUCAAAGAAUACAUACUGGAGAGAAACCUUAUGAAUGUAAUGAAUGUGGGAAAGCUUUUAGUCAGAGCACUAAUCUUAUUCAGCAUCAAAGAGUCCAUACUGGGGAGAAACCUUAUGAGUGUAAUGAAUGUGAAAAAACCUUUAGUCAUAGGUCAUCCCUUAGAAAUCAUGAGAGAAUCCAUACUGGAGAAAAACCCUAUCCUUGUAAUGAAUGUGGGAAAGCUUUCAGCCAUAUCUCUGCCCUUACUCAACAUCAUAGAAUUCAUACUGGAAAGAAACCAUAUGAAUGUACUGAAUGUGGAAAAACCUUCAGCCGCAGCACACACCUAAUUGAACAUCAGGGAAUUCAUUCUGAGGAAAAAUCCUACCAGUGUAAGCAAUGUCGGAAAGUUUUUUGCCACAGUACAUCACUAAUCCGACAUCAGAGAACCCACACAGGAGAGAAACCAUAUGAAUGUAAUGAAUGUGGGAAAGCUUUCAGCCAUACCCCAGCCUUCAUUCAACAUCAAAGAAUUCAUACUGGAGAAAAACCCUAUGAGUGUAAUGCAUGUGGAAAGGCCUUCAAUCGGAGUGCACAUCUUACUGAACACCAGAGAACUCAUACUGGAGAGAAGCCCUAUGUUUGUAAAGAAUGUGGAAAAACCUUCAGUCGAAGUACACACCUUACUGAACAUCUAAAAAUUCAUUCUUGUGUGAAACCCUAUCAAUGUAAUGAAUGUCAGAAACUGUUUUGCUAUAGAACAUCACUAAUUCGACAUCAGAGGACGCAUACAGGAGAGAAACCCUACCAGUGUAAUGAAUGUGGGAAAUCCUUCAGCUUAAGCUCAGCUCUAACUAAACAUAAGCGAAUACAUACAAGGGAGAGACCCUAUCAAUGUACUAAGUGUGGUGAUGUCUUUUGUCAUAGUACAUCCUUAAUUCGACAUCAGAAAACUCAUUUCAGAAAGGAAACCUUAGCAGAGUAA
rnacentral:lncRNA from 1 species